GACGAACGCUGGCGGCGUGCUUAACACAUGCAAGUCGAACGAAGUGGCGAACGGGUGAGUAACGCGUAAUCAACCUGCCCUUCAGAGGGGGACAACAGUUGGAAACGACUGCUAAUACCGCAUAGUGAAGGAGGGGAUUGCGUCUGAUUAGCUAUGUGGAGGGGUAACGGCACACCAAGUCGAUGAGCAGUAGCCGUGCUGAGAGGAGGACCGGCCACAUUGGGACUGCGACACGGCCCAGACUCUUACGGGAUGCAGCAGUGGUGAAUCUUCCGCAAUGGACGAAAGUCUGACUGAGCAACGCCGCGUGAGUGAUGACGGCCUUCGGGUUGUAAAGCUCUGUUAAUCGGGACGCGGUACCGGAAUAGAAAGCCACGGCUAACUACGUGCCAGCAGCCGCGGUAAUUC
rnacentral:rRNA from 1 species